rnacentral:lncRNA from 1 species
CUGAGUCACGGAAUAUUCUCUGUGCCAGAAUGACUCAGUUCACAGAACCUGAGCCAGAAGAUCAUGAGUUUUAGUCUCAGAUCAGAACCUGGGCACUUACCCAGUGCUGAUAGGACAAGCAAGGAUCGGGAAAGCAGGCUGCUGUGAAACUGGAUGGCCCGGGAUCGGUGGUUUUAAACAUUUGGAGCCUCUAGGCAAAGUGGAUGCAACUACUGGGUGCUCAUUAGACAGAUUUUUUUUUUUAACUUUUCCAAAUCUUAAUAGUACAGUGAGAAUAAUAAAUACAUGCCCCCCCCCCGAAAAAAACCCAACCCCACAAAAAGAAACAAAAAAAAAACCCAUACCUGGGUUUGGAUUCAGUAGUUCCGUUUAGAGUGGGGAUCUGAAAUAAUGAAGUAAGUGAAUGUUAGGUUACUAUGGCUGGGGUCAGUGUUAGCUCCAGAAGGACUUAAAGGAUAAUGGUCGGGGGCGGGGGGUGCCAAAAUGCUGAGUUUGCUUAGCAGAUGCACGGAUCACUUGUAUUGUUCAUUUAUUUGAUGAGAUGGGUGAAGAUGAUGCAUUACUAACUUUGGCACCUCCACUUUGGAAGAAGAAAGUUGUGGGACUGUGGGUAACAGUAUUUUAAUUCUUUCGUAUUUGAGUUGAAGCAAAAUAAAUAUAUUUAUUUAUACCUAGAGAGGAUGAUAUUUUUUCUCAGUCUUUCAUUGUACUUGAGAACGAAGGCAUAUAGGAUGAAGAUAAGAAUGUUAGUUGUAAAUAAAACUACAGAUGUUUUUAAUAAAUAUAAGUAAACAUAUUAAUGCAUUUGCCCUUAGAAAUUUUCUUAGAUAUUGGCAAACCAAGUGGUGGAGCUCCUUUUGUUUUCUACCAAGUCAAACCAGAGAAAGGGUUGGGGGGUGUCAGGGGAGGCAAAUGGAGAGGGAGAGAGAAUCCUAAAUCCAUCAGGGAGCUCAGCGUGGGGCUCGAUCUCACAACCCCAAGAUCAUGACCUGAGCGGAACUCAAGAGCUUAACCGACUGAGCCACCCAGGCACUCGAAGGUGACCCUGUUUUUUUAAAUAAAAAUUCCAUGGCCCUUUAAUAAUACA